rnacentral:rRNA from 1 species
AGCGAACGCUGGCGGCAGGCCUAACACAUGCAAGUCGAACGAUCCUUCGGGAUAGUGGCGGACGGGUGAGUAACACGUGGGAACGUACCUUUAGGUUCGGGAUAACUCAGGGAAACUUGAGCUAAUACCGGAUGUGCCCUUCGGGGGAAAGAUUUAUCGCCUUUAGAGCGGCCCGCGUUAGAUUAGCUAGUUGGUGAGGUAAAGGCUCACCAAGGCUCCGAUCUAUAGCUGGUCUGAGAGGAUGAUCAGCCACACUGGGACUGAGACACGGCCCAGACUCCUACGGGAGGCAGCAGUGGGGAAUCUUGCGCAAUGGGCGAAAGCCUGACGCAGCCAUGCCGCGUGAAUGAUGAAGGUCUUAGGAUUGUAAAAUUCUUUUAGCAGGGACGAUAAUGACGGUACCUGCAGAAAAAGCCCCGGCUAACUUCGUGCCAGCCGCCGCAGUAACAC